rnacentral:rRNA from 1 species
AUGCUGAAGCAGAUUUUAAAUGCCGAAGAAGAAAUCAGAACACGUAGCAUGCAGGCUUCACUGCGUGCUGCCAUGCCUCAGCCGCCAGAAAACACAGCUGAUGGAAGUGUUCCUAGACAGGUGCCCAGAAUGACCGUUGAUGUCAAUUUCAGCGAGUUUGCUGGGGAGUCAGAUGCUGGUUCCAACCAGGGCACUCCUGGACGCCCCUUGCAUCAUGUCCACAGUAUUUCUCCUUCAACAGCCUCCUUUGCCAGGUCUCCAUUUGGUUCUCGCAACCACAACCCUGGCAACACUCCAAGAAGUCCAGCUGCACCUUUCUCUACAGCAAGCCCAUCUCGCUUUGCAGGUACUGGGCAUCAAGGACACCACCCCUCGGCAUCAUUACCAGCAAGCAACUUUGUAGCAUCGUCGCCUUCCCCUGCUGCAUCCGGUGGCUCUUCCUCUGUAUUCAGGGACUAUCGCCCGCCCAGUUCAACAUAG